UACGAAGGGGGCUAGCGUUGCUCGGAAUCACUGGGCGUAAAGGGUGCGUAGGCGGGUCUUUAAGUCAGGGGUGAAAUCCUGGAGCUCAACUCCAGAACUGCUUUUGAUACUGAAGAUCUUGAGUCCGGGAGAGGUGAGUGGAACUGCGAGUGUAGAGGUGAAAUUCGUAGAUAUUCGCAAGAACACCAGUGGCGAAGGCGGCUCACUGGCCCGGUACUGACGCUGAGGUGCGAAAGCGUGGGGAGCAAACAGG
rnacentral:rRNA from 1 species